GGCAAACGCUAGGGGUCCUGCGUCAGGCAUGUUGCACAUGCGUGACGCGGGUGAGAAAUACCCUCCGAACCUGAUCUGGAUAAUGCCAGCGAAGGGAAGCUUAGGAUGUCUGUC
rnacentral:ncRNA from 1 species